rnacentral:tRNA from 1 species
GGAGAGGUGGCCGAGUGGUUGAAGGCGCUGGUCUCGAAAACCAGUAUGCGGGUAACCGCAUCGAGGGUUCGAAUCCCUCCCUCUCCGCCA